rnacentral:rRNA from 1 species
AGAGUUUGAUCCUGGCUCAGAACGAACGCUGGCGGCAUGCCUCAUACAUGCAAGUCGAACGAAGGCUUCGGCCUUAGUGGCGCACGGGUGAGUAGCGCGUGGGAACCUACCCUUCUGUAGGGAAUAACCAAGGGAAACUUUGGCUAAUACCCUAUAAGCCGGGAAACCGGGAAAGAUUUAUCGCAGCAGGAGGGGCCCGCGUCGGAUUAGCUAGUUGGUGGGGUAACGGCCCACCAAGGCGAUGAUCCGUAGCUGGUCUGAGAGGAUGAUCAGCCACACUGGGACUGAGACACGGCCCAGACUCCUACGGGAGGCAGCAGUAGGGAAUAUUGGACAAUGGGCGCAAGCCUGAUCCAGCAAUGCCGCGUGAGUGAUGAAGGCCUUCGGGUUGUAAAGCUCUUUCGCCCGCGACGAUGAUGACGGUAGCGGGAGAAGAAGCCCCGGCUAACUUCGUGCCAGCAGCCGCGGUAAUACGAAGGGGGCGAGCGUUGUUCGGAUUUACUGGGCGUAAAGGGCGCGUAGGCGGCCGAUCAAGUCAGGCGUGAAAGCCCCGGGCUCAACCUGGGAAUGGCGCUUGGGACUGGUUGGCUUGAGUUCGGGAGAGGAGAGUGGAAUUCCCAGUGUAGAGGUGAAAUUCGUAGAUAUUGGGAAGAACACCGGUGGCGAAGGCGGCUCUCUGGACCGAGACUGACGCUGAGGCGCGAAAGCGUGGGGAGCAAACAGGAUUAGAUACCCUAGUAGUCC